AAGCUUAGGAUAAUAUUAAACCAAAG
rnacentral:tRNA from 2 species